AGAUACAGCCUACGGGAGCAGCAGUAGGGAAUUUUCGUCAAUGGGCGCAAGCCUGAACGAGCGAUGCCGCGUGAGUGAAGAAGGCCUUCGGGUCGUAAAGCUCUGUUGCGGGGGAAAAAAGGCAGCAUCAGGAAAUGGGUGCUGACUGAUGGUGCCCCGCCAGAAAGUCACGGCUAACUACGUGCC
rnacentral:rRNA from 1 species